UCCACUCUAAGUACCCGUGGCGAUCACUCCCGAGGACACAGAGCCCUCACGCCGCCUGCUGUCUGCCGCUGGCGCACACCUGUGCCUCCAGGGGUCCCUCUGCCUGCUGCUUCCUGGGCUCCCGGCAUCGACAGACACGGGCACUCACGCUCAUGGAGAUUCUGCAUGGCCCGCUCCGAGGGGCUGCACCGGGCACCUCCCUGCAGGGACAGAGGCCGCUGGGCGUCAGGGAGGUCUCCGUGCUCUGCCGUCCGGAGUCUGGAGAAGAAAAUAUGGAAGGAAUGUGCCAUAAGCAGAAGGAAUGAAAGCGGAACAGUCGUGAAGCAUGAAGCUCCAAGGAGAGGUUGAGACCAGCUGUGAGCCAGGCAGACCGAUGUGACUGGGAGUCGCAGGGAGGAACACGCGGUUCUCAAAGCAUGGAACGGAGGCCCUGGGGGUUCCCUGAGGCUCUUGCUGGCAUCUGGGAGGUGCAGCUUCUGGAAUGGAAAAGAAAUGGUGUUUAUUGUUCUCUGUGUUCCGGCACAGUACACACCCUUGCUCACUGGACCCCAUGAGAUUGCGGGGUGGGCACUGUUACCCGCCCACUUCCUAGACAAGAAAACAGGCCUGGAGAAGCCCCAGGAGCUGUGGAUUGGUCGUAGUUUGUAAUCCCAGUGAGGCUGAGAGUCACCAAGCUGACCCCAGUGAGGCCGAGAGUCACCAAGAUCACAUCUUUAUUGUCCUUGACGGAGGAGAAGAGGAGAAAGCUGGGGAGGGGGAGGUGCAUUGGUAAAGGUUCCCGAAGAAACGGAACCACUAGGUUCCUGCUGAGCCUUCUGUUCUCUCCGGGCCCACAGGGGAUUGGAACAGGCCCACCACCCACUCUGGGAGGGCCAUCUGCCUGACUCCGUCCGCUGCUUCACACGUCAGUCUCAUCCAGAAGCACCCAGAGUGAGGCUCACGGAAUGCCUGGGCCCUACGAGGCCUGCCGAGUGGACAGGUACUGUGCAGGUGCCUUUUCUGCAUUGAAUACAUACAGCAUUGCCGUGGGUGCGUCCACCAGCGACCGUCCCUGCCCACAGCCCUGGUGCCAGAGGCCCUGGGUUCCAUCUGGAACAGCCCUACGGCCAUGCCUGCUCCGGGAAAGAUAGCCCACCAGAAAGCCCCCUGUGCAGAGGCUACCUGAGGACUUAUAGCCGGUACAACCCAGCAUCCAGCCGUGACCAGACAACCAGAAGCUCUCCCUGUCAUAGGACUGCAACUUGGAAACGAAGACUCACUGGUCAGCUGAGUUGAUAGAAGGUCAUGGCCUCAUCUGGGGCUGAAGCACAAGGGAGCAAAGGCCAGGACUGGAGGACGAGCCAGGUGUACAGACCAAGGUAGGGUCCUCUGUGAGGCCUGGAGACCCUCACGUGAGGGCUGGUGCUGAGCUGCUUCCUGACACUGUCCUCCAGCUUCAGCGCCGACCUGACCUUAAAGUGCCACAUUCCCGUGAUAACAGGAGAGAAUCCCUGACAACCAGUGAGUGGCACUGUGAGCUGACACAUAGCCCAGCAUCAAGGGGACACAAAAUAAAAUGAAGGUCAGCUAGGCCAGGUGCUGGGGCAGGGCACCAGACCCUUGGAGGCCACUCAGAGGAUCUCCUUGGCCAGCCUGGGGGACAUGGACCUGCCUGCUGCUCAUCCUCCCCAAUGUGGAGCCGUCUUCAGCAGCCUGUCCUGUCUGCACCAUUGCUUCCUCUCUCCAGGGCCGAGGGCAUCACUGACCAUCUAUUUGCCAGAGUAUUAGAAGGACAAGGACCAUCUUUGUCAGGGCUGUCUCCAGUACCAGCUAGGAGAGAGGAAAACCUCUUCCAAAGAAGCCACCAGCCACCAGCCAGGGCAGCCUGCCUCCCUGGGGCUCCCACCAGCAGCCUGCAGGACCCCCCACGCCCGGGGGGCUUUCCAGAGCUGUGAAGUUCCCCUUCUGGGGCUGUCCUCCCCCUGGCCUCUGAUGUGCCCCCCUCCCUGCUCCCGGCAAAUUAUCCUUCAUCUCCUAUCAGUUCUGACCGCACAUUCUCUCCCUUGGGUCCGCGCUUUGUGUUCCCACGCCUGCAGGCCUCCCUCCCUCUGCCCAGCCAGCUCCAUGCUGUCCUGCAAGAAGGCCCCUGGGAAGAGCUCUGGACUAGUGUCCCAGACAGGAGUGAGCAGGGGGAGAUGUCAGAGGCGAGGACGCAGGCCCAGGACAUGGAGGUGAGUGUGUCGGAGCCACAUGGGCCGACGCCCUGCUCCCUCCCUGCUGGGUCUGCGUCCUGGCCCCAAGUCCCAGGCCUCUUGCAUCAUCCAAGAGCCCACUUCUGGUCUGCUCCCGGCCGGGCCGGCCCGUAGUUCCCAGCCCGGGAAGCUUCUCCUCACUGUGGCCUUCGGUUCUCUGCUCAGACGCGGUUUUCCCACGGCCCCAGGAAACGAUUUCAAGGCCCUGGGCACUGAAAGUCUCGGCGAACUUCAAAUGAACUUUCACAUCUUCACCCAAGACGUCCCAUCCGCUUUGUGGACAUGGCCACUUCUAGCUUUCAAUGCUUUUCAGGGGUAGCACGUUCUAGCGCCUUCCUCAUGUCCUACCAGGCAGCCCUCGCUUUCUCCUUCUGCAGAACAGGCAGGUUCUGCUUGCCCCUGCCCCCUGCCCCCCAUCCCAGACUUCAAGAAGGGCUUGAAAGGGCUGUCACUCUGCCGGCUCACCCAGCCUGGGUCUUUCAUACUUCGGGGUUUUGGCCUCCUGAGUACCGAUCCCACCAAUCAAAGGGUUGGAACCCACCACCUUUAAGUGGACACGGACCUCAGGGUUUGAACACUGAGAGUCAAAGCCGUCGAGGGGUGCCCCAGGACUGUCCAGCUAGUGGGUGGCAGCUGGAUGCCAGGAGGCUGGCUGCUGGGCAGGGGUGAGUGAGCCGGGCUCAUUCCCAGAGGCCAUGCAGGGAAACCUGGAAUCUGGAGGCCAGCCACCCGGAGGGUGCUAGACUCGGGGAGGCUCCACCUAUGGGGUCCUGGCCCCUGUGGGCCUUCUGUAAAUUCUGUAUUCCUGGCCUUCCUCUGCAGGCACACCCCAGUCUCCAGACAGAGGGAGCCAGGACGGAUGGCUGUGGGCGGGCCAAGUGAGUCAAGUGGCAGGGUUCACACACCACAGCCCGUUUAUUCACCAAUUGUUUGUUUAUUCACCAAUCGCUCGUGGGUUCCCGGGGAAUGAGGCACACAGUCCUUGUGCCGGACAAGAGUGUCACUGCAGUUGGAACAGGUAUGUCCACCCGUCUGUCCUGUCUGUGCCCCACCCCCAUCACUGCACAUGCAGGGCCCGACAGCUGCAUCUGCUGGCGGACCCCCACCCCCCCAGGGGAGUGUCAGCCUGCCCCUUGCUGCUCUGGCCAACCGCAGCAUUUAGGGAACAGGGCUGAGAUAGAAAUACCUUGAAUCGGGAUAAUUUGUUUCCAUACGUCGUGGACCAGUGGAGUGACUGAGUUCUGCAAGGGUGGAAAUCGUGUCCCUCUCUCCACCUGUGGGUCCCGAGCAGCUGGUGCAGACCCACUUCAGAGGGGUAGACGGGUAGAUGAAUGAUGAGUGAGUGAGUGAUGAACCCAGACACCUGAGAGCCGUGUUCUCAGCUGGCCGGCAAACAGCCCAACAACGUGAGUGCAGGUGGGUCCUUGUAAGAGCUGUACAGAUUCAGCAGAAAUGUGAGUGGGAGGGCGCGUGACCUAACGCAGGACUCAGAACAGGGUCCUGGUCUCCUGGGACAGAGGGUUUGUGGGGUGGCCCCUGGGGGCUGAGGUGGGAGGAGGUGCGGCGGCCCCUGUGCGAGCAGCCCGGAACCAGGCCCUAAGAGAGAAAGGGGGCGCCCUGAGGCCCCUAAACCCCACACCGCGUGCCCCUGGGAGAAUCUGCCCAUUCACACGUUCGCUGCCUCACUCAUGCCACAGUUCCUGCCUCAGGCCUCUGCCCAUCACCGUGCCCAGGGCCCUCAAACGUCAAAAAGCACCAGCUGGAACGAUUGUUCUGGAAUUUUUUAUUUUAUUUUUUGGUGAAGUAUAUGCACAUUUGGCUGUACUUGGUAACACGCCGGCACGCUAUCUCAGGCAUGGAAGGUGAGAAGCACACCAGCCAUGAUCAGCGAGCGGGGCUUGCGGAGCGGCCCCAGACCUGAAGCCCCGGGAACGAGCCCUCCGGCUUCUGGAGGAGUCCAGGCUGCCCGCCACACGUUGGUGUGGGUUGCGGCCUCUCUGGGCCCUGUGUCCGGGUGUGCUCGCACACGGAGCUGCAGGGUGGUCUGGGGACGCUGUGUUGUGGGGAUGUGGACCCCAGGGGUCUGCUGCCUGGACAGGCCGCCUGCCGGAGCGUUCGUGGUGCCGAAUGCAGAUUUAAGGCGCGGGUUUCUGGUCCCCACGGUAAAGCCUGGCGGGCUGGUGGCAAAGUACAGAAGGCCUCCCAAUGACAUGGUAUUGACUUGCCCUGGGAGAGGCGGGAGCCUGCGAUGGAAGGACAGAGCCCUCCCUGCUGCUGUCCUGCUGCUGUCCUGCCGCCGGACCGCUUGUCCCACUCGGAGCCGCAGACUAGGGAUUUCCUCUUCUAUUUUUACUGCGAAGUGUGCACUGGUGGAAGGCGUUAGGUUUGGGGAUGCUUUUUCCCCUUGGAGUUGCUUGGCUGCAUGUGAAGGUGGUUCUCAGCCUUCGCAGCCCGUGGAGAUUCUGAUAAGGAAUCAAAAACCCCAUCAUCGCCCAUUUUUAUUACUCCGGUUAACCAUUACAAAGCCGGCAGGCCGGGCGGCCUGUGCAGCUGAGGAGGCCUGUAGGAACGGCGCUGGUGGGCUCUCUGGGGCUGAGGGACGGGAGCAGGACUGGAAGUGGGGUGCCGCGGGCUCUCUUCCCCACUCCCCCAGAGGGUGCAGGGCUGUCCUGCAUCCCCAGGGGGUGGCAUCCACCAGCCUCCGAAUCUCAGAACUGGGCUGAUGGGGGAGCCAGCCCUCAGCCCGAGAUGCCCGUCAGACUCACUACGGCCCCUGGACUUCAGGCUUCUCUCACAGCUGGGGUUUCCUGGGUUUGCUUCUCAAGGUGGGGAGACCCACCAGACGGGUCCUGCUAGGCUGGACUGGAAAAUUGGCUACACCCUGACCUGGGCUCCCAGGAGCAUCUACCCACCCCCGUCCCCACCGAGGACCUCGGAGAGUCGGGGGAAAGCCUUUCCACACUGGAAGCCCCGGCUGGCUUUGAAAGAGGAGGCCACUCAUGUGCCAACGGUGGGGAGGGGGCAGGCCUUGCCGAGGGACACCGGCUGGUGUGGGAGCCGCAGUGGCAGGAACCCCAUGCUGGGCUCAUGGGGCCUGAGCAGAAUGUCUUCAUGACAGGGCCAUUCUUUUUCUUUUUCUAAAAGAUUUUAUUUAUUUAUUUGACAGACAGAGAUCACAAGUAGGCAGAGAGACAGGCAGAGAGAGAGAGGAAGUGAAGCAGUCUCCCUGCUGAGCAGAGAGCCCGCUGCGGGGCUCGAUCCCAGGACCCUGGGAUCAUGACCAGAGCCUAAGGCAGAGGCUUUAACCCACUGAGCCACCCAGGUGCCCUGACAGGGCCAUUCUUUAACAGAAGUCGGACUAGGGUUUGAUACGGAGAGCGCCACCCUGCACCCGUUUCUCUGGAUGUCACAACCUUUCUCUGAGCCAGGGCUCUCACAGGCAAAAUGCUGGGCUUGUGAUGUCUCUAGACAUAUUCAGAGGAGAAAACAUCUGUCUUCUCAAUGCGGAGACUAUCUGCUCCGUGCUGGGGCAGCACACGGCCUGGGCCCUUCAUGGGCCACUCAGCUCUGCUUUCUAGCCAAGUGUAUCUGUAUUUGUCUGGAGAUUUGUUAUUUGUGUUAUUUUGUUAUUUGUUAUUUGUUAUUUGAGUCCCUGGGGGUGAGCAGAAUGACACGCCCAUCACAUGGGCAUGCGGACACACAUGUACACUGGGUGACAGUUGCCCCCAAACCCAGGUGCCCAUCACAAUUUUAGAAGCACCCUGCCUCCCAGAGCUGACUUGCUCCUGAGACGUCCCUCUUGGGGAACCAGAGAGGAAAGCAGUCUCAGGGAGGGACUGGGACUUGCUUUAAGGUCACAGCAUUUGAGUGACAGAGCUAAAAUGAGCCCCAAGCUUAGGGUUCUCUGCCAGUCCUUUCCCGACCUGCAAGCAGAGACAUCCUUCCCUCCUCCCUCCCUGUGGUCGCGAGAGUUGGCUGCCUGCCCCUGAGCUCAGGGGGAAACCUCCUGAGCCUCGGAGGAAGGGCAGUGAGGCUGCCGUUCCUUCUUUCUCGGGACCACUGCCCUCUUUCUAGGUGUGAGCAUGUGGUGGUGGGCCUUGCAGAUGGGCUUUACCGGGGUUCAAGCCCAGACCCAGCGUCUGCCACCAGUGAGGCCUGGGAGAGCUGCUCGAUGCUCUGUGCGCUUUCUUCAGUGGGGCCGGAAGGGUGCUUGGCGUGCUGCCGCUGCUGGGCACUUGCUGUCCCUUGUAUUACUUGUGAUAGCUCAGGGCUGGCUGCUGGCGGAGCCACCUGCUCCUGGGCCCAGCCCGAGAGAUGGUGUGGCUCAGCUGCCUAGUCCACCAGGGUCCCUCGGGUGGGCUGCUCCCUCACUGACCUGGGGACCUCCGAGCCUCUGAGGCUUGGCUUAGUCUUCCAGAAAGCAUGUGGGGUGUGUCGUCCGCCAUCUCCCCAAAUCCACCCUGCUCCUGGCGCUCAGCGACGGUGCAGAGAAGUGGACCUGUCCCAGCAUCCUGGGGCUGGGGGGCUGUGUCCGUCCAUCCUCACGCCAUCCCUGAGCAUGUGGACACCCAUCUCGCCCAGAUGUCGAAGCAUUCCUGGACAAGCCCUUAAAAGUACUGGCCAAAGGGACAAAUACCGACACGGAUUAAAAGCCCUUCAACAGGGGGUGGCUAAACAAGUCUCAGGAGUCCCCAGGAAGGAAUACUACGCAGCUGACAAAAAGAAUGAACACAACCGACAGAUGGACAAAGCACGUGGUCAAUGACACUUUCUUGAAUGUACAAGAAGUUGCAGAACCAUGGUAUCAGUUCAUUUGAGAAAAGCUCACGUGUUGCUGAGUGCGUGAGAAUGUUGGCACACAGCACAACUGGAAGGUUGCCUCCUGGACAUGGGUCUCCCGUAGGCAUCGCAAGUCCAUGGUAGCGUGGCUGGAGGCUGAAUUCCAGGUGGACAUGGCUUCCUUCAAGAUUCUGUGUGCCUUAUCUGUCCUGUAGCUUUCCAUAUGGGAAGCUGGAAACCACAUCCUCAGCCCUCCCGGGAUAGGCCUGUCCUGGGAAUGGUGAGCCCUGGCUGUGGCUGUGGCCUCAGGGCAUCCUCUUGUCCCCAGUAGUGUCCUGAAGGUCUGGGAGCUCUCCUGACUCAUUUGUGGACUGAUUCCCUUCCCACUGCGUCCUCUUUCCCCUUUGCUGAAGCUCUUUCUGGACUCUGGGCCUCCAACCUCAUCACCCGGGGUUUAAAAACCUCUUUUUUUCCUCUAAUUUUGUAUCGCUUUGCCCUUUGGCUCUAUUUCUAGAGGAUAUCUUCUACUUUGUCAUCCAGA